rnacentral:rRNA from 1 species
GGAGUCUGGGUGGGGUGGGGAUAGCUCUCCGCGCAGAUGUCCGAGGGUGGCUUGGAAUGGCGCAACAAGCUCCAAACCUGCCACCGUUCCUCGCUUUCUCUCUCUUAUUCUUUGCUUGCGCCGGCUACAAGCGUUUCAUCGUGUCUUGUGGUUUGCCUUAUUUACGCUCGCUUUCAGCGAUGGAUGUCUUGGCUCGAACAAUGAUGAAGGGCGCAGCGAAGUGCGAUGAGCAUUGUGAGUUGCAGGAUUCCGUGAGCCAACAAGGAAUUGAAUGCGCACAGCACUUUCGGGAUAGCCUUGCAAGUGUGCCUGUGUUGGCGUCUACAUUGAUUCAGCGCUGCACCCUUGCUAGCCUCAAGCUUGUCACUGGUCAGCACUUGUGCAUCGGGGCACGAUGUGGCCCAAUGUGCUCAUGUCUUGCUGUGGCCCUUGAUAAGUGCCAAUGCGCCACACCUUGUGUCAGUGCAGCAUUUCGAGAUGAAGCGCUCACAUCUUACCUGACACAAUGUUAGGCCAGUGAACCCGCUGAACUUAAGCA